GCGACUGCUGCAGCUGGCUCAGCUGCGCGGGCUGUACCCUCCUCCCAGCCUGCAAGAGGAGUGACAGUGAUGAAGUGGAAGGACAAAGGUCCACAAACCAAAGGCGCCAACCACGCAGCGUUACGUGCAGAGCGCUGGGGCAGGAGGAAGACCGGGGCGGCCUUGAAGGAUGGGACGCGUCCCUAGCCAUGCUUGCAGAGAAAACCUAGUAGAAGACUUGUACCAAGAAAACUAAGGAGUAAAUAAAGGACAUGGAUGAGAUAUAAGAAAAACUGCAUGAGCUCAGGAACUCUGAUCAUGGGGCAUGGGAAACAGCAGUAUGGCCAUACUCCUGCCAAAACUUGCCAUGGCCAU